rnacentral:lncRNA from 1 species
GGGUCAAGUGAGAUACCUAUCUAAUGAAUCACAAAAACAGAGUAGGUGUGUUCGAAUAGCUAUUUUUUUCUAAAAGUACUUGACGACAGUCUUUUAAUUUGGAUGAUGAAAAUGGAUAUCUUCGAAAAAAUAUGAUUUUCUUGUGUGUGAUAACUAGGGUUUAUAAUCUUCAACCACUAAAAUUGUUUAGUCUGCCCUUCCACGA